AUGGGCGCAAGCCUGAUGCAUCCCUGCCGCGUGUAUGAAGAAUGCCUUCGGGUUGUAAAUUUCUUUCGGCGAGGAGGAAGGUAUUAAGGUUAAUAUACCUUAUUGAUUGACGUUACUCGCAGAAGAACACCGGCUAACUCCGUGCCAGCAGCCGCGGUAAUACGGAGGGUGCGAGCGUUAAUCGGAAUUACUGGGCGUAAAGCGCACGCAGGCGGUCUGUCAAGUCGGAUGUGAAAUCCCCGGGCUCAAGCUGGGAACUGCAUUCGAAGCUGGCAGGCUAGAGUCUUGUAGAGGGGGAUAGAAUUCGAGGUGUAGCGGUGAAAUGCGUAGAGAUCUGGAGGAUACCGGUGGCGAAGGCGGCUGCUGGACAAGACUGAGCUCAGGUGCGAAGGGUGGGGAGCAACAGGAUAGAUCGCUGGAGUCCCGCUGUAACGAUGCUAGUUG
rnacentral:rRNA from 1 species